AAGCCAUCUCUGAACUAGACAUGCUUGGCAAGGAUUAUUGGAAAGAUGUACUAACAUGGUGCAUCGCUCUCACUGCUUGGGUCAUCAAUGUUUUGCUUAAUGCCCAACCACCAUCAAGAGUGCAAUGAGUAUACUUUUGGUUAUCAGGUGUAAUAGGAGUAUAUUUUUGGAUAUUACAAUUAUAUGAGUUUGUAGUUU